UACGUAGGGUGCGAGCGUUGUCCGGAAUUAUUGGGCGUAAAGAGCUCGUAGGCGGUGUGUCGCGUCGGUCGUGAAAACUUGGGGCUUAACUCUGAGCUUGCGGUCGAUACGGGCAUCACUGGAGUUCGGCAGGGGAGACUGGAAUUCCUGGUGUAGCGGUGAAAUGCGCAGAUAUCAGGAGGAACACCGGUGGCGAAGGCGGGUCUCUGGGCCGAUACUGACGCUGAGGAGCGAAAGCCAGGGGAGCAAACGGG
rnacentral:rRNA from 1 species